UAAGGCUUAGUUUAUAGAAUUUAUUCUUUACAAGAAUAGGGAGACGCCUUAG
rnacentral:tRNA from 1 species